CGUAGGUGGCGAGCGUUGUCCGGAAUUACUGGGUGUAAAGGGCGUGUAGGCGGGGAAAUAAGUCAGAUGUGAAAUUCCAGGGCUCAACUCUGGCGCUGCAUCUGAAACUGUAUCUCUUGAGUGCUGGAGAGGAAAGCGGAAUUCCUAGUGUAGCGGUGAAAUGCGUAGAUAUUAGGAGGAACACCAGUGGCGAAGGCGGCUUUCUGGACAGUAACUGACGCUGAGGCGCGAAAGCGUGGGGAGCAAACAGGAUUAGAUACCCUGGUAGUCCACGCUGUAAACGAUGGAUACUAGGUGUAGGAGGUAUCGACCCCUUCUGUGCCGCAGUUAACACAAUAAGUAUCCCACCUGGGGAGUACGGCCGCAAGGUUG
rnacentral:rRNA from 1 species